GACGAACGCUGGCGGCGUGCUUAACACAUGCAAGUCGAACGGAAAGGCCCUGCUUUUGUGGGGUGCUCGAGUGGCGAACGGGUGAGUAACACGUGAGUAACCUGCCCUUGACUUUGGGAUAACUUCAGGAAACUGGGGCUAAUACCGGAUAGGAGCUCCUGCUGCAUGGUGGGGGUUGGAAAGUUUCGGCGGUUGGGGAUGGACUCGCGGCUUAUCAGCUUGUUGGUGGGGUAGUGGCUUACCAAGGCUUUGACGGGUAGCCGGCCUGAGAGGGUGACCGGCCAAAUGGGGACUGGGAUACGGCCCAGACUCCUACGGGAGGGAGCAGUGGGGAAUAUUGCACAAGGGGGGGAAGCCUGGUGCAGCAACGCCGCGGGCGGGAUGACGGCCUUCGGGUUGUAACCCGUUUUCGCCUGGGACGAAGGGGGGGUGACGGUAAUGGGGAAAGAAGCACCGGCUAACUACGU
rnacentral:rRNA from 1 species